AGCAUACAAGGCAUACGGCUCAGUAACGCGUAGCCAACCUAACCUAUGGACGGGAAUAACCUCGGGAAACUGAGAAUAAUGCCCGAUAGAACAUUAUGCCUGGAAUGGUUUAUGUUCCAAAUGAUUUAUCGCCGUAGGAUGGGACUGCGGCCUAUCAGUUUGUUGGUGAGGUAAUGGCCCACCAAGACUAUUACAGGUACGGGCUCUGAGAGGAGUAGCCCGGAGAUGGGUACUGAGACACGGACCCAGGCCCUAUGGGGCGCAGCAGGCGAGAAAACUUUGCAAUGUGCGAAAGCACGACAAGGUUAAUCCGAGUGGUUUCUGCUAAAGAAACCUUUUGUCAGUCCUAGAAACACUGAUGAAUAAGGGGUGGGCAAGUUCUGGUGUCAGCCGCCGCGGUAAAACCAGCACCUCAAGUGGUCAGGAUGAUUAUUGGGCCUAAAGCAUCCGUAGCCGGCUCUGUAAGUUUUCGGUUAAAUCUGUACGCUCAACGUACAGGCUGCCGGGAAUACUGCAUAGCUAGGGAGUGGGAGAGGUAGACGGUACUCGGUAGGAAGGGGUAAAAUCCUUUGAUCUAUUGAUGACCACCUGUGGCGAAGGCGGUCUACCAGAACACGUCCGACGGUGAGGGAUGAAAGCUGGGGGAGCAAACCGGAUUAGAUACCCGGGUAGUCCCAGCUGUAAACUAUGCAAACUCAGUGAUGCAUUGGCUUGUGGCCAAUGCAGUGCUGCAGGGAAGCCGUUAAGUUUGCCGCCUGGGAAGUACGUACGCAAGUAUGAAACUUAAAGGAAUUGGCGGGGGAGCACCACAAGGGGUGAAGCCUGCGGUUCAAUUGGAGUCAACGCCGGG
rnacentral:rRNA from 1 species